ensembl:lncRNA
AGCAAGAAAACAGCAAACAGCGAAACAGCAAUCAGCCGCCUUCCGCCAGCUGAUUCCUCGCAGGCCCAGGGAGAUUGAACGGCAGCAGGCACCCGCGCGUUCUCGCUCAACCUCCUCUCACCGCCAACGAGUUGCCUCACGAGAAGAGCCUGCACCUAUGGCGCCCCCUCGUAAGGAUUGGGGUCCUAAGGCUUUUCCACCGGCUCGCCAGCGACAGCAAAAAAGGUUAGACCUGAGCUCGACGGCUAAUGCCUCUCGUUCUCGGGCCCCUAAUAGCAGCUCCUGAUAUUCUCACUGCUUGCCAGGGACUGUGCCCUCCACUAGAGAGCGCUGUUGGACCGUUUUUGCGUAUCCAACCCUCUCACUGCAGUCCCCACUCUCAAACAUUGACUGUCUCGCCGCAAAGGGCGCUUCGAGCAGCAUUGGAUCGAGCUACCAUGUCGAGCGUUCCCUCAGACACUCUGCGCAAUUCAGCCUUCAGAAUCCGAGGAACGGUUCAAGGGUCUGGCAAAGACGGCCCGUUUUUCGCUAGCGGCAGAGCCCGAUGUUCAUCUUGUUGGAUUAAUUCCUGCCGUGGACACGCUUCAGGAUUAUACACAACGAGACGCAACGACUUUGACGCAUGCGCUUCCCCUGCUUACGGACGCCGCGAGCCUUCCGUGCCCGGACAUUUUAGCGCGUAUGAAAACAUUGCAGAAGGCGGAAAUCUUGAAACCACUGACGUUAUUUCGGGCCGCGUGGGAACGCUUGCCAGGCAUUUCACAAUGGGUGUUACGCACAAUUCGUCACAAAGGCCCGCCUCCUUUCCGCGGAAUUCUUCCCACGGUUGUGAAGCCAAAGGAAAUCGCGGUGCUGCGGCAAGAGAUGUCAGCUCUGCUGAGCAAAGGGGCUAUAGAAGAAGUACACCCCUCUCAGAUGGAGUCAGGUUUUUACAGCCGCUAUUUUGUUGUACCAAAAAAAAGGCGGCGGUUUGCAACCCAUUUUGGAUCUACGCCGUUUG